rnacentral:tRNA from 1 species
AGACUAUUACCUAUGAGAAGGAUUUUGUUUUGAAAGCAAAAAUUAAAGCAUUAAUUACUGCUUAGUAGUU